UUUCGCAAUGGGCGAAAGCCUGAUGGAGCAAUACCGCGUGAGGGAUGAAGCAUCGUGGUGUGUAAACCUCUUUUCUUAAGGAAGAAUCAAUGACGGUACUUAAGGAAUAAGCACCGGCUAACUCUGUGCCAGCAGCCGCGGUAAUACAGAGGGUGCAAGCGUUGUCCGGAAUGAUUGGGCGUAAAGCAUCUGUAGGUGGUUUCUAAAGUCAACUGUUAAAUCCCAGAGCUCAACUUUGGCCAAGCAGUUGAGUACUUAGAGACUUGAGUACGGUAGGGGUAGAGGGAAUUCCUUGUUUAGCGGUGAAAUGCAUAGAGAUAAGGAAGAACACCAGUGGCGAAAGCGCUCUACUGGGCCGUAACUGACACUGAGAGAUGAAAGUUAGGGGAGCGAAAGGGAUAAGAUACCA
rnacentral:rRNA from 1 species